AUGUAUUCUGUAUUUCCUGGCACUUUUAUUUAUUUGAGGGGUUGUAUAAUGGACCCCACGUUUCACUUCAACGUCUCGGAGCUCAACUUUGAGGAUGUGUCCUUCGGUGACCCUGUGCUCCAACAGUGUGCAGCGCUACAGCCUGGCUCUAGUGUUGGAUGCACAAGGAGUGGGAGAGGAGGUGCUGGCCCUACCCAUCAAUGCCAGAACCUGCUCCUGUCCUGCAUUGGGGAGGAUGCGGUUGUCCAUGUGAUGACCACAGAGGUGGACUUUGGCACCAUAUCGGUUCUGACCGAUGUCUCCAGAACAUCGCAGCUCUCAAACCAGUCCCUGAUACCAGCCCGCUUUGUGGCACAAAUGGUUCGCAGCAGGUGGCGGGUGGAGCCCAGUGAGGGAGAGGUUCCACCCCAGGGGAAGCUGGAGCUGAGGCUGGUCCCUCACCUAGAUGACAAUCAAUCAAAUGCAUUUAUAAAGCCCUUUUUGCAUCAGCAGAUGUCACAAAGUGCUAUAGAGAAACCUGGCCUAAAACAGCAAGCAAUUUUUUUAUUAUCUUUAUUUAACUAG
rnacentral:lncRNA from 1 species